UGAGGAAUAUUGGUCGAUGGGCGCAAGCCUGAACCAGCCAUCCCGCGUGCAGGAAGACGGCCCUAUGGGUUGUAAACUGCUUUUCCGGGGGGAGAAUUUUUCCGUCGUGACGGGAAUUGACGGUACCCCGGGAAUAAGCAUCGGCUAACUCCGUGCCAGCAGCCGCGGUAAUACGGAGGAUGCGAGCGUUAUCCGGAUUUAUUGGGUUUAAAGGGUGCGUAGGCGGAAUGAUAGGUCAGUGGUGAAACCUGCAGCUUAACUGUAGACUUGCCGUUGAUACUGUCAGUCUUGGGUGUGGUCAAGGUAGGCGGAAUGUGUAAUGUAGCGGUGAAAUGCUUAGAUAUUACACAGAACACCGAUUGCGAAGGCAGCUUACUGGGCCAUUACUGACGCUGAUGCACGAAAGCGUGGGGAUCGAACAG
rnacentral:rRNA from 1 species